rnacentral:rRNA from 1 species
GACGAACGCUGGCGGCGUGCCUAACACAUGCAAGUCGAACGGAGUUUAGUUAGAUUGAGACUUCGGUCAAUAUCUUUUUAAACUUAGUGGCGGACGGGUGAGUAACGCGUGAGUAACCUGCCGUUCAAAGGGGGACAACAGUUGGAAACGACUGCUAAUACCGCAUAACGUAUCCCUGGGACAUCCCUAAGAUACCAAAGGAGCAAUCCGCUGAAUGAUGGACUCGCGUCCGAUUAGAUAGUUGGUGAGGUAACGACUCACCAAGUCGACGAUCGGUAGCCGGACUGAGAGGUUGAACGGCCACAUUGGGACUGAGACACGGCCCAG